rnacentral:rRNA from 1 species
CCUACGGGUGGCUGCAGUGGGGAAUAUUGCACAAUGGGGGAAACCCUGAUGCAGCGACGCCGCGUGAAGGAAGAAGGUCUUCGGAUCGUAAACUUCUAUCAGCAGGGAAGAAGGAAGUGACGGUACCUGAAUAAGAAGCCCCGGCUAACUACGUGCCAGCAGCCGCGGUAAUACGUAGGGGGCAAGCGUUAUCCGGAAUCACUGGGUGUAAAGGGUGCGUAGGCGGUAGGGCAAGUCAGAUGUGAAAGCCCGGGGGUCAACUACGGGAUUGCAUUUGAAACUGUCUUACUAGAGAGCAGGAGAGGAAGGCGGAAUUCCUAGUGUAGCGGUGAAAUGCGUAGACAUUAGGAAGAACUCCAGUGGCGAAGGCGGCUUUCUGGACUGUAACUGACGCUGAGGCACGAAAGCGUGGGGGGCGAACAGGAUUAGAUACCCUUGUAGUC